UUGUCGCUCCUCUGUACCCUCCCAUACCCCCGCAGGUCAUGCCACGAUCGCCUCCGAGGCCACAACCUUCUCUGUCCGAGUUCAUGGAGAUGCUCCCUACAGACCGUGUCGCUCCCCUGUCUCCUGCCAUGCCCCCUCCUCCUCGUAUCUGUACAGAUGUAAGUCCCUGACCAAUGCAUGUAUGAUGCAUCACUUUUUUUUUCUGAACUGAUAUGAACCUGAGUGUUCAAUCCUUACUCCCUGUAUUGAUGCAUAUUUAUUUUUUCUGAAUUAUAAUGAAUGUGUCAUCGUAGUGCCUUUUUUUAUAAAUUGAUAUGAACUUGUGUGCUCAGUCCUUACUCCCUGUAUAAUCAUUUUUUAAUUCUAAUGAACAUGUCAUGGUCAUCCCUGUGUGCUUGCAACAGAUCGAGCCCAAGUUAGCAUGUGAUAUUGCUUUGCAAAACCAUGAGUGCACUGACGAACGACACCGUGAUAUGGAAAUACGUCCUCCCCCGAUCAUACUUGAGAACUUCAGCACCCCUAAAAAGGGAGCUACUAGCGGCCCAUUUUGUGUGAGUAUCGUUAUCACCAUAAUUUUUACAAAUUUCUUUAACAUUCACUAACUUGUGCGACCAAUGCAUCAUGUAAUUUCAGGGUUCAACAUGUACUCCUGAUUGUGAUGAUAACUUAAAACCAGACUUGGGUAUGACAUUUGACAGUAUGGAAGAUGUUGAGAUUUUUUACAAGGCUUAUGCACACAAUAUUGGAUUUUCAGUCAGAAUUGGGCAGAAAAAGACAAUAGAUGAUGUGGUGGUCUGGAGGCGAUUUCUUUGUUCAAAAGAAGGUUUCCGAACUAAGAAGGAGGAGGAACGCAAGAAGGAUUUGAAGGGAGGGAAGAUAAGAACACAUGCAAGAAAGAUUACUAGAUGUGGUUGUGAAGCCAUGAUAACUGUCAAGCGUAUGCAGGAUGGCAAAUACUCAAUAUCAGAUUUUCACGAAGAACACACCCAUCAAUUUAUCACACCCACCAAGCAACAUUUAAUCAAGUCUAAUAGAGAAGUCAGCGAGAAGGCCAAGACCACACUAUUCACAUGUCACGCAGCUAGUAUUGGCACAUCUGGAGCCUUUCGAUUGCUUCGUGUUGGUGAGGGUGGAUUUCAGUUUGUGGGGUGCACGAAGAGAGACUUGCAGAAUUAUCACCGUGACAUGAGAAGUACUUUCAAGGAUACAGAUGCUCAAAUGUUUAUUGACAACCUCAGAAAGAGGAAGCAAAUCAACCCAGGAUUCUUCUUUGAUUAUGUUCUUGAUGAUAAAAAUCAAUUGAAACGUGUGUUUUGGGCAGAUGCAUUUUGUAGAAAGAAUUAUGCUUUAUUUGGAGAAAUGGUGUCUUUUGACUCCACAUACAGCACAAAUCAGUACAAGAUGAUUUUUUGUCCAUUCACGGGAAUAAACCACCAUAUGGGAUCUGUUUUCUAUGGUGUUGUCUUGAUUGUUGAUGAGAAAGAAGAGUCGUACAAAUGGGUGUUUGAAACAUUUUUGAAAGCCAUGGAUGGGGCAGCACCGAGGCUUAUAGUAACCGAUGAAUAUGCUAGCAUGAAGGCUGCCAUUGAUAUAGUUAUGCCAAACACCGUCCAUAGGCUAUGCAUGUGGCACAUAAUGAGAAAGCUUCCGGAAAAGGUUGGUCCUUCACUGAAAGAGGAUGAGCAUUUUUACAACUCAUUUAAUGCAUGUGUAUGGGGUUCUGAAAGCCCAGCUGAAUUUGAGGCAAAGUGGUCUUCCAUGAUUUCUGAAUUUGGUCUUGAAGAAAACACAUGGUUUGCUAGGAGAUAUGAAAUUCGUGAAUCAUGGAUACCAGCCUACUUUAGAGGUGUAUUCUUGGGUGAAACUCUGAGAACCACUUCGAGGUCAGAGAGUGCUAACUCAUUCUUUAAUCACUUUAUUGGUUACAAGCAUGCUUUGGUGGAGUUUUGGAUUAGGAUUGGAACAGCCCUGGAAGAACAACGUCCGAAUGAACUCAAGGCUGAUCAUGAUUGCCUCAACUCCAUGUCUCCACUGAUUACAUCAUGGGAGAUCGAGAAGCAUGCAAGCCUAUACUUCACCCAUGAGGUUUUCAAAGCUUUUCAGAAGGAGGUGCGUGCGGCUAGAGAUCACUGCUUAAUUGAAAGCAUAUUGUAGGAGGGUGAUGUGAAAACCACGGUUGUAGGAGGUGAUCACUCUUACAAGUCCAGAGAAGUUAAGUUCAACACAACAUCCAUGAGUGCUCACUGCUCUUGCAUGUUAUUUGAGACACGUGGAAUUCCAUGCCGACAUAUCAUCGUGGUUUUGAGAGGUGCAAAAAUUAAUGAGCUACCAAGCCAUUUCAUUCUAGAUAGGUGGAAGAAAACAGUUAACAGGAGGUCACUAUACGAUAGUGGUGGCAACUUGCUUGAAUAGAACGAGAGUAGUUCUUUAUAUUUGGCAAAAAGAAAAAUGGUUUCAGAGAUACACCAAACAUUAGAUGACACUAUCAGGUUGGCUGAACAUUCUUCUGAAGAAUUGGAAGCGUUGAGAAACGGUCUCCUUGACACGAAAAGAAAGUUAUCUGAAAGAGUUACUGCCAAUAAUCCUAGUAGACAAGAUGAAUUCGAGGCAUACAUUGGUUGUAGUAUGCCUAAUGAAGUUGAAAUUUAUCCACCAACUGAUGUGCAUACAAAGGGGAGGUGCAAAAGAAUUAAGGGACACUUAGACAAGGGUGGAGAAGGGAAACAAAAAAAGGAUGGAGAAGGGAAGCAAAAUAAAAAUGGAGAGCGGAAGAAAAAUGCCGGAGGACCGAAAAAGCCUCGCACGUGUGGGACUUGUAAGCAGAUUGGCUUCCAUGAUACUCGUAGUUGCCCCAACAAGAAUUAAGAACCGAAUAGGUAUUUUCCCCAACAAAUUGGCAACAUAUUUCAUAGUUCUUAUCUAUGUAUAUUCGCUUUCAAAAAGUGACUAUAUAUUCCAUUAUAACUGAUCAGAUCAUUUCUACUUGCAGGUUCUUUUAUUCUGAUUUGAGUCAACAUAAGACUUUCUUUUUGGUGUUGUGCAAGAUGGAAAAUCAAAGCUUAAGCGUUAUGUACUGGGCGUUACCACUGUAGUAGAAGAAGUUUAUGUGUAUCUCUAAAUCUUGUGUUGGUCUGAAAAUCCUACGAACCAGUGACAUGUACUUGAUGUUACCACUUGUUUUAAUGCACUGGAUUGUCUUAUUUAUCUGAAAUGCUCUAGUGGUUAUUUGGCAUUAUAUUG
rnacentral:lncRNA from 1 species